UGGCUCUCGCAUCGAUGAAGAACGCAGCGAAAUGCGAUAAGUAAUGUGAAUUGCAGAAUUCAGUGAAUCAUCGAAUCUUUGAACGCACCUUGCGCUCCUUGGUAUUCCGAGGAGCAUGCCUGUUUGAGUGUCAUGAAAUUCUCAACCUCUCUGGUUUUCUGACUGGUUAGGAUUGGAUCAUGGAAGUUGCUGGCUCAAUCCGAAUCAGCUCUUCUCAAAUAUAUUAGCAAAGACCUUUGCUGACCAUCAUUGGUAUGAUAAUUAUCUAUAUCAUUGAUAACCAGUACCCUUUAUUGGGAGGUCUCGCUUCUAAUCGUCGCUUGCGACAACUUGACAACUUUGACCUCAAAUCAGGUAGGACUACCCGCUGA
rnacentral:misc_RNA from 1 species